GUACUGAGGAGGCUGUUUGUGUCCCCGAACCAGUGCAGCAGGAGGAUCCUCCAUCCCAAACACCUCCAAAAGCCUCUUGAUCGCCUCGGAACGCACUUCUUUCGACUCGUUUUGCACCGUGAAGUGGUUUUCCAGUCGCUGAAGUCUUCCAGUAGGCGGCGCUGUGAUUAAGACUGGCACAGACAGGAAGUGAUGGCCAGAACGGUGCGGAUUUGGCCAUGUUGACUGAGGAAAGUGUGGCUCUCGUAGUCUUGAGGAACACAAGCGUUGCCCUGUCCUUCAGCCCACAGCAGACAUUCCCCGAGAUCUGACGCACUCCUGCAGAAACACAUGAAUCGACAGGAGAGAGUACUUUCUACUUGGACUCCAUCAUCGUUGUACGUGAUCUCGUAAUGAUACUCUACAUACGGGAUACGGUAACAUCCCUCCAUCAGUUUGCAUUGAGCCACUGUUUGGAUCAGCUCCACUUUGUUCGGAGUUUCAAUGAGGGUGGAAUCAAACUUAGUGGGAACGCAUGAAAAUCCCUCUGUAAGUAUGUUUUCAGCGAUGGUGCUCGGACACACUGGCUCAUUUUGGCUUCGCAGUGACAGUCCUCAAUGAUCUCCACCUCCCGCAGACCUUCAUACAGCAUCACACGGUCCACACGGACCCCGGCCGGCUCACAGCUGGAGCUCAGUCCGCAGGACGGGGAACCGCUCAUGGGGUCUGAGGAUGAUGACGAUGGAUCCAGACGUCUCAUCUAUAAUGGUUAUGGGAAAAAUAUUAAGUUGGGCUUCUAAGAUAUGAAAUCGAGCAUUGAGGAAUAUUUGGAAGCCCUCAGCCCCGCCUCUAAUGACGUGGCACGCGCUGAUUGGCCACAAUGCGUUCUGCACACGCCCACAUCAACAUUCACUGGACUGCCAGAAAUAUCUGUUACAUAAAAAUAAAGCAGGCUCCUGUCUCACCUUUGCCGAUGUAGAUGACAUGACUCUGGCGUCUGCAGCAGGCUCUCUCUGUGAACAGGUCUGAUGGACGGCGCAGAGCAGAAGAAACACAAACAGCGGCAGUAAAUCCAUCGUCAUGUUCUUCACACACACCACGUCAGGUCUGUUCCUUCAGUCCUGUUCCUCUGGGAUAUUUAUACCG